AAAAAUGCGUAAUUGUCCAGGCCAUAUCUUUGAAAAUACUUAAUUUAUUGAAAUGAAACUUGAAACGUUAAGAUAGAUGGCAAAAUCAGGAAGACUGCAUUACUAAAGACAAAUAAUCCUGCCCUGCAAUUUUUUAAGUUAACUUCCCUUAUCUGACAGUUUUUAAAAAUCUUAGUUUGUCAAGGCCAUAUCUUCGGAUAUUUGUGAAUUUAAAUUGCCACUUAUUUUCAUUUUUUGAAAAAUACUUUUUAAUUUAAUUCUUAAACCCGCCCAUAUCUUACCAUGUUAUGAAUUCUUCCAACUGUGUAUAAUAAUGCUACAACAAUUUACCUUUCACCAGCACGGUGUAUUACAAUUUCUGCCCUUUUGUAGAAAAUGGGCGAAUGGCUUCCAGGGCUUAUUUCUUGUUUUUAUUUAAUAGGAAAGUUGUGGUCAUUGAUAUUGUUUGAUCAAUUCGUAUAUUUUUGUUUUUAGAUUUUGAAUUGCUAACCGAAGAUGAAUGUCCAUUACUCAACUAUGCCCAGAAGACUUUCAUGUCCCCACAAGAUAGAACUGUCUCGGUCAAUUCAUCUGCUGAUCAGAAUGAGCACAGCCGUCUUUAAAACGUCACCAGGGCGUCAACUGACAUGUUGAAAUAUUAUCAUGACCACCUCAUCUACUUGCCUGACCUAAAGACCUUACCUACUUGACACAUCCACCCUUCUUGCACUGGCUUGAUGUUGACAACUCCACCAACGGACAUCUGGGCUGCUCUCCUCCAUCAUGUGACAGAUGAACAAGAGUGACUUCUCCCUAUUCAAGAUGGAUAUUAUGUGUUGUCAUGGGCUCCUGAAUCCAGAGGAGAGGAAUAAACCAUGGCUUAACAAGAAAAAGCAACUGUAGUACCCAUAAAGCCCUCAGUCAUAAUGUCCUUGACAUAAGCACCAUCUAUCAAAGAUUGCAUACCAUCUAGACCUCGGAUACACUGUGUUGUGUGUACUGUAACAGUAGGCAGAAAUGCAGAAUGGUACCAACAGUUACUUAAGCCACCAAUCCUCUCACAGACAAAAGGCUCAUGGGUAUGGUCCGACUCCCUGCAGUUUACAGCAAAGCUCUCAAUUGUAGCCCUACAAACUUCAGAUUUACACUCUCCUCUUGCCGAUUAAAUGCGGAGAGCGUAGCUCUGGUGCACCGAGCCGGUUUUUCCAGCCAUGUGGAAUUGACAUUUCCAGCUGCACUGGGCCCGGGAAGAAUAUCAGACUCCUUACCAGCACGGACCUCUUUCUUGAGAAGAAUGGAUUCAGAGAUGACUCCAGAGAUGCAGCCUUGUCUGUGGCACAUGGAUGUUAUAGAUAGUGACUGUAAAGAAAUGAUGAUAGCAGAAAAACGAAACUAUCUUGAUAUGGUUUUCUGGUGUUGAAUCAACAGACAGUGUUCAUAAUUGUUGGAAAACAGUGUCAUAGCUGAAAUCUCUUCCGAAAAUUCACAUUAAAGUGGUGAACUGGAGUGAUUUAACAUAUAACCAAAGUGGCAAUUUCGUUGUGUGCUGUCCCAACAUGUUUCAGAGCACUGAAAACUGCAUUACUUGACUUGUUUUACUUAAAAAUCCAAAACUCUUUUAUCUUAAUUCAUGAAACCUUAGGGCAAUAUAAAUGGGGUGUUGAAA